rnacentral:rRNA from 1 species
UAGCAUAUCAAUAAGCGGAGGAAAAGAAACCAACAGGGAUUGCCCCAGUAACGGCGAGUGAAGCGGCAACAGCUCAAAUUUGAAAUCUGGCUUCGGCCCGAGUUGUAAUUUGCAGAGGAUGCUUUUGGUGCGGUGCCUUCCGAGUUCCCUGGAACGGGACGCCACAGAGGGUGAGAGCCCCGUAUGGUCGGACACCAAUCCUGUGUAAAGCUCCUUCGACGAGUCGAGUAGUUUGGGAAUGCUGCUCUAAAUGGGAGGUAAAUCUCUUCUAAAGCUAAAUACCGGCCAGAGACCGAUAGCGCACAAGUAGAGUGAUCGAAAGAUGAAAAGCACCUUGAAAAGGGGGUUAAACAGUACGUGAAAUUGUUGAAAGGGAAGCACUUGUGACCAGACUUGGGCCGGGCGGCUCAUCAGGGGUUCUCCCCUGUGCAUUCCGCCCGGUACAGGCCAGCAUCGGUUCUUACCGGGGGAUAAGAACGGCAGGAACGUGGCUCCCUCUCGGGGGAGUGUUAUAGCCUGCCGUACGAUACCCUGGCGGGGACCGAGGUUCGCGCUUCCGCAAGGAUGCUGGCGUAAUGGUUACUAGUGACCCGUCUUGAAACACGGACCAAGGAGUCGUCCAUUAGAGCGAGCGUUUGGGUGUAAAACCCGCACGCGUAAUGAAAGUGAAAUUAGGUGAGAGCUUCGGCGCAUCAUCGACCGAUCCUGAUGUUCUCGGAUGGAUUUGAGUAAGAGUUUUAACGGACGGACCCGAAAGACAGUGAACUAUGCUUGUAUAGGGUGAAGCCAGAGGAAACUCUGGUGGAGGCUCGCAGCGGUUCUGACGUGCAAAUCGAUCGUCAAAUAUGAGCAUGGGGGCGAAAGACUAAUCGAACUGUCUAGUA